CAUGAAAUGUGCUCUCUGAUAUGAAAUGUGUAAGACCAUGGUUGAAAGAUACCAUGGCAACGUGAUAUGAAAUGAAUAAGACCAUGGUUGAAAGAUACCAUGGCAACUUGACAUAAAAUGAGUAAGACCAUGGUUGAAAGAUACCAUGGCAACAUGACGGGAAAAUGAACAAGACAAUGGUUGAAAGAUACCAUGGCAACAUGACAGAAAACAAGUAAAAUUAUAGUUGAAAGAUACUAUGACAUCAUGUCGAAGAUAAAUAAGAUCAAGGAAGAGAAACGCCAAGAUAUCUAUUGAACAAUCGAUAUUCAGGUAAUAUGUAUCAGAUGGAAUGGUUAUAUGAAAUGGUUGUGUGAAAUGUUUACAGGAAUUGGUCAUAUGGAAAUAUAUGUACAAAAUAGUUAUAUGAAAUAAUUAAGAAGAUAGAUAAAUGAAAUAAGUAUAGGUACAUGAAAUUUAAUUUAUGUUAAGUUUAAUACUGAACUAUUACCGAAAUAAAUAUUUACAAGAUAUAAGGAAAUGAUGGUGCAUGAAAUAUUGAUAUAACGAAAUGAAUGAUAUAUGCUUAUGAAGAAACAGUAAGAGAAUAAUAUAUUUUGUGACAUGUACAUAUAUAAUUAUCUUUGAUAUGUUGAUACAAGGAAAUUAUGUAAGUUAAGACUAUUAUUAAACUCAAGUGUGAUAUGUUGAGAAAAUAGGUAUAUCAAUGUUGAAUUUAUAUGAAAUAUGUGCAAGUAUACUAAUAAUGUUGUUUGACGCUUAGACAAGUGUCAAGUUAUUGAUUGAAUGGUAACAUGUUUAAUUAUAAGAAGCAUUGAAACGGUAAGUACUUAGAUGAAAAUAUAAUUUAAGAUUUUGCGAAAUUUUUUAUGAUCUCGAUUUUAUUCCAGUUGGUUUCUAAUGUAUGUUUUGGGCUUCGAGGGCCCAAUAGAGAGACGUUAUGAUUAUUUCAAAAUAUGAAUAAUAAAUGACUCAAAAUUAUCUAAAAAUGUUCAGUAAACUUCGGUAAUGCCUUGUACCCUAUUCCGGCAAUGAAUACGGGUAGGGGGUGUUACAGUACCCUUUUACACCUAAAGUUGACAAACGUGGACAUGUAAUUCCAGGAAAAACGCCAGAUCAUAUUGCAACUUUUGUAGGAAGUUGUAAAAUCCAUAGUUUGCUGUAAAAUUUUUUAGAUUCGGCCUGUAUUAAAUUACUUCUAGGAUUUAGUAAAGAAUUCUGUAAUAGUUUAUAGGCACUAUGUACAAAGAACUCUCCCGACUGUUUUCCUUUCCAAACUUGAAAAUCCUCAUGACUAGUUCCUGCAAUAGAGAUCUGCAAUAUUUUGUGAGCUACCUCGUUAUUAAAGGAUCCAACAAUCAUUCCAAAUGGAAAUAUCCCUCCCAUUGCCCACUCUUCAGCAUAAUCCAUCUUGAAGAAGUCCAUUUGCCGCCCAAAUGCUCUUCCAGGGUUUUCGGCAGUAGGAAACAUGCUAUCGUGUAAGUUGGAAUCGCCCGAAGGAUGACUUUAAUAAAGACUUCUUUUCCUUCUUGAGAUAGGUAUUUAUUACUCCAGUUGUCAAUACGCAAUUUAAUACGAUAUUUUAAAUUUUGGAAAGACUCAUUCUUCCUCCUACCCACCAUAUUUGGCAAACCAAGGUAGCGUUCUGGUUCCUUCGAGCAUCAAAUUGUCAAUAGACUAGCUAUUUAA